CACAAUUGACAUCUGAAAAUUUUCCCUGGCCACCAACUGGCCCACCAUGUUCUCUUUAGCAGCCAACACCAACAUUAAAUUGUAAAGCUUGCUUAUCGAGUGGCUAACGUGAUUUUGGAUGUAAAGAGUCCCCAGGAGGAAAGCCUACUCAACAGUCUUUUGGGAGGUAGGAGGCCUGACCUGACUCCAACCUCCAGCACUUUGGGGAGCUUCUCUUCUCACUAAAGAGCUUAGAAGGCCAAAAGCCAGAGAGACCCAUCAGAUCGAGAUCUACGUUGGUCCACACUGCUCCUUUUCUGAGCCUCUGCUUUCUGGAAGACCCAACCGACCCAUAGGCCAUCAAAUUUGAGGCUUUCAAGAAGAGUCAAGCUGGGAGUGCAGAUGCAGAACAGGAGGUAUGAGAUUUCCUGAGCAUGAGGUGAGAAGAGAAGGGAUCAAGGGUGGGGUAUGUAUGUCACUUUAGGUGCUGGAAGAAGAGCCAGUUGAGGAGAUUGAGGAGGGGAUCUGAGAGCUUCCUCCCCCAGACAGCUUCCCUCACACUUCCCUGGCUCCUCUUCUGGCUCUCCACAGAGGCUGGGUGAGCUAACCCUCUUUCCUUGUCCUGCAGACUUACAGCCUGUUUUAUAAUCACUGCUUGCUGUGUCUACCUCCCUAGGAGCCCAUGAGGGACCCUCGAACACAGGGCUAGUAUCUUACUCACUGUUGAUCUCCCCAGUGCUUCACGAAGCUGGUGUUUAGAAGAAGCCCAUUUAAUCUUAGGACACACGUUAUGAUGAGAAUGUAUGAAACUGGCAAAAUAGGAUGCAAGUUUGAUUGAGAAACCAGAAAGUCAGCUAACAACCGCUGUAUUGUGUAGUUCAACCCUUACCAGGGAGGUGGGGCAGUGGGUCUCAAGUGUAUUUACAAUGAUUAAAAAAAAAAAAAUACAAACCUAAACUAUAGCUCACCCUUGUCAACAUCUGCCUUGUAAUAUAGGCAAAGUAAAAUAC
rnacentral:lncRNA from 12 species